CAUAGAAUUUGAAGCAGAUUCCAGGCUCUGAGCUGUCAGCACAGAGCUCUACGCAGGGCUCGAAUCCAUGAACUGUGAGAUCAUGUCCUGAGCUGACUAAGCCACCCAGGCGCCCCACAUACUACUUUUCGAGAAAACUUUGAGAGAACCUGAUUUUAGACAUUUUUAAAGUGAAAUGCACAUACCAAGACUGCUGUCGGAAUCAAAUAAAAACCUGGAAUCCAGGCCUUAAAUAUCAGGGCAGCAUGUUUGUGUAACUAACAGGGCUGCUGUUGAAGUUUUAGAAAGUGGGAAGUAGUGACUGCAAAGACCUGAGAGGUGGAAGUCCUUUUCUGUUUUUUUUUUUUUUAAUUAAUUAAUUUUAUUUUUUAAAUUUGCAUCCAAGUUAUUUAGCAUAUAGUAUAAUAGUGAUUUCAGGAGUAGAAUCCAGUGAUUCAUCCCCUACAUAUAACAUCCAGUGCUCAUCUCAACAAGUGUCCUUCUUACUGCCCCUUGCCCAUUUAGCCCAUCCCCCCUCCCACAACCCCUCCAGCAACCUUCAGUUCUCUAUAUUUAAGAUUCUCUUAUGUUUGUCCCCCUCCAUAUUUUUAUAUUAUUUUUGCUUCCCUUCCCUUAUAUUCGUCUGUUUUGUAUCUUAAAUUCCACAUAUGAUUGAAGUCGUAUAUUUGUCUUUCUCUAAUUGCAUUUAGCAUAAUACACUAGUUCCAUCCAUGUUGUUGCAAAUGACAAGAUUUCAUUCUUUUUGAUUGCUGAGUAAUACUCCAUUGUAUCUCUCUCUCUCUCUCUCUCUUUCUCUUUCUCUCUACACACACGCACGCAUACACACACCACAUUUUCUUUAUCCAUUCAUCUGUCAAUGGACAUUUGGGCUCUUUCCAUACUUUGGCUAUUGCCAAUAAUGCUGCUAUAAACAUUGGGGUGAAUGUGCCUCUUCAAAACAGCAUACCUGUAUCCUUUGGAUAAGUACCUAGUAGUGCAUUUGCUGGGUCAUAAGGUAGUUGUAUUUUUAAUUUUUUGAGGAAUCUCCAUAGUGUUUUCCAGAGUGGCUGCGCCAGUUUGCAUUCCCACCAACAGUGCAAAAGGAUUCUUUCACUGCGUCCUUGCCAACAUCUAUUGUUGCCUGAGUUGUUAAUGUUAGCCAUUCUGACAGGUGUAAGGUGGUAUCUCAUUGUGGUUUUGAUUCGUACUUCCCUGAUGACGAGUGAUGUUGAGCAUUUUUUCAUGGGUCUAUUGGCCACCUGGAUGUCCUUUUUGGAAAAGUGUCUAUUGAUGUCUUUUGCCUGUUUCUUCACUGGAUUAUUUGUUUUUUGGGUGUUGAGUUUGAUAAGUUCUUUAUAAGAUUUCAGAUACUAACCCUUUAUCUAAUAUGUCAUUUACAAGUAUCUUUUCCCAUUCUGUCGGUUGACUUUUAGUUUUGCUGAUUGUUUCCUUCACCAUGCAGAAGGUUUUUAUCUUGAAGAGAUUCCAAUAGUUCGUUUUUGCUUUUGUUUCCCUUGCUUCUGGAGACAUGUUGAAUAAGAAGUUGUUGCAGCCAAGGUCAAAGAGGUGUUGUUGUUUUUUUAAAUUUUUUUUUAAUGUUUUGUUUAUUUUUGAGACAGAGACAGAGCAUAAGCAGGGGAGGAGCAGAGAGAGAGGGAGACACAGAAUCCGAAGCAGGCUUCAGGCUCUGAGCUGUCAGCACAGAGCCUGACACGGGGCUCGAACUCGCAAACCGCAAGAUCAUGACCUGAGCCGAAGUCGGACGCUUAACCGACUGAGCCACCCAAGUGCCCCAGUCAAAGAGGUUUUUGCCUGCUUUCUCCUCUAGGAUUUUGAUGGCUUCCUGUCUUACAUUUAGGUCUUUCAUCCAUUUUGAGUUUAUUUUUGUGUAUCAUGUAAGAAACUGGUCCACGUUCAUUUUUCUGCAUGUUGCUGUCCAGUUUUCCCAACACCAUUUGCUGGAGAGACUGUCUUUAUUCCAUUGGAUAUUCUUUCCUGCUUUGUCAAAGAUUAGUUGGUCAUAUGUUUGUUGGUCCAUUUCUGCAUUCUGUAUUCUGUUCCAUUGAUCUAAGUGUCUGUUUCUGUGCCAGUGCCAUACUGUCUUCAUGAUUACAGCUUUGUGAUACAUCUUGAAGUCCAGAAUUGUGAUGCCUCCAUCUUUGUUUUUCAUUUUUAGGAUUGCUUUGGCUAUUUGGGGUCUUUUCUGGUUCCAUACACAUUUUAGGAUUGUUUGCUCUAGCUCUGUGCAGAAUGCUGGUGUUAUUUUGAUACAGAUUGCAUUGAAUAUGUAGAUUGCUUUGGAUAGUAUCAACAUUUUAACAAUAUUCUUCCAAUCCAUGAGCAUGAAAUAUUUUUCCAUUUUUUUGUGUGUGUGUCUUCUUCAAUUUCUUUUCUAAGCUUUCUAUAGUUUUCAGUGUAUAGAUUUUUCACCUCUUUGGUUAAGUUUAGAGAGGUAGGUGUCUUAAAUAUUUAGGAAAAGGAAAGCCCAGUGAGAUAGGUGCAGGAUCUGUAUUGACUGUAGGCCACCAGAUGGAAUUUCUUUUAAAAUUCUGUUUUCCCCACUAGUGGCUACAGUUUUGUAAGAAUAAAUGACCAUUAGUGGUUAUUGCGUUUUUUUGUUUUCAGUGGAACAGCUUAAUGGUUUUUAGUUACAUAAGAGCCCUACUCCUUUUCCCUGCUGAUGUCCCGAGUUAUCCUUCUCUUUGUGUGCAUACUAAGUGAACAUUUCCAGAUUGCCUUGAUGACUCAGCCCCUUGACCAGCUUCCCAGCUGUACUUGUUCCCUAAUACACACUUCUCCACGUUACAGGAUUACAGAGCUUUGCCCAUUGAAUAGGAUUUAGAACAAGAAUGACAAAUUGUCACCUGGUGGGCAGCACUGAUUAUAAUUUUAUUGGCAUCACAGAGAAUAAGUGCAUGACAUGUACAUUGUCCUUUUGUGUUGCUAAGAACUUUCCUGCCUAAUGUAAAAGGCAUUUAACAAAGGACAUGUAAAAUUAUUUGCCAUAUGUAUGUUGGAUGUGAAGUAAUGAACUUGUCAUUAGUUGUGUUUUGGUUUAGUGUUCUUCCUGGAAUUCAUGAAAGAUGAAAAUUCUGCAUACCUCAUUGAUAAUCUUCCACAUGGGCUGAGUACCACCCCAUGUGCUCAGUUGGAUUUGCCAUGUUGCUUUAACCUCAUCUUCAAUUCCAGUGAACAACAUCAAGUCAUUGUGACUUACAGCAGACCUGACAAAUGCUAAAGGAGUAAGCCUACUGCUGUGGUUCUGUAAUGACCCUGAUAAUGAUAGCCUUGCCCAUGCAGACAUGUGUUCUUUCCCCUCCUUCUCUAGGUACCUACUCCUGAGGAAAGAAUAUAAUUUCUCUCUCUGCUAACAUCUGUCAUCUCUACUCUUGAAUUAUUUUGCCUUGAAAAAUUGAAUCAAGUUAUUUAUCAUCUAAAUGGAAAGUUUGAUCGCUUACUGCUUAGGUCUAGAUAGUUUGAAUUACCUGUAUUAUCACAUUUCUUAGAUACAUCUCAGAAUGCUAUAAUUUUUACAUAAAAGCAUAAAUUAUAGGAUGAGGAGGCCAAUCUUAAUAUAUAUUAUGAAGGUUCUUAGAGUAAUAUGGCCUAUGACUGUCAUUGUAACCCAAAUAGAUUUUUGACUGUUUAUAAAACUGAAACAACUAAUCGAAAGCAAAUUCACUUUAAUUGAUGAGAUUCAAGAUGGAAUUAUGGCGGUCACGAAUCACAAUAAUGUAGAUCUGCUAAAAUGUCAAUAUGAUGACACUCAAUUAUUAAUGGCAUAAGUAUCUAAUGUAUUAAUGGGAAUCCAAGUAAGAGAAACAAAACACGUAUUUUGAUCUUACCUUAA